AACUGAGAAGUCUGAUGGAACCAGUACUGUCAUUUCAACAACUUGUCCUUCACAACAAGGUUAUUAUGCAUUCAUUUCAUUAAUCUGAUCAAGCAUAUAAUCAAGUGUACUAACCAAUUCCACACACAGUAACAUAAAUGUUUACCUUCUUUAUUCUUUCUACUACAGAUGUAUCCAGUCCAUCAACCACAGAGUUAAUCAUCUAUGCUACUGUGGGGGGCUUACUGCUGUUAAUGGUACUGAUUGGGGUCAUCUACUGGAGAUACAGAGCUAAAAGACAAGGGCAGAUGGAGGACGGUGAGAGAAAACCAGAAUGGAGAAGAGAUCAGGAGACACAGGAAAUAUCAAGAGAGCAAUGGACCACGCAGCCAACUCCCCAAGCUGAGUGAAGCCAAUGCAGGCGUCGAGACCGUAAACAAAGACGGGGAAGGUGAGGCAGACUAUGGGCUAAGCUAAGGUUUAUCCCGCACCGGACUUUGGUUCCCAGCAUUUUUCUCGCCAAUGUUCAAACAAAAUGGAUGAACUGCGACUCUGAGCUACUACACACAGAUGGAUCAGAGAGUGUGACAUUAUGGUUCUUACGGAGACGUGAUUGAACGGGGAUUUCCCGAGCGGUGCACUGAAGCUGGAGGGAUGCAGUGUGUUCAGUGUGGACAGAGUGGCUGAGGACUCCGAGCACACAGUUGUAUCGUUACCACAGCCUACAUCCCUCCUGAUGCUAAUGCUAAGCUAUCUAUGUACAGCAAUUGACAAACAACAAACUGCACAC